AAGUACAGAUCAGGUAUACAUUUUAAAGGACUGUUAAAAUGUAGGCUGUUAGGAAUUGUGGGAGUUGAAGUCCAAAACACCUGGAGGGCCGAAGUUUGUUGAUCCCUGCACUAGAGCAUGAAUCUAGAAUUCUGGGGUUUGUAGUUUGGCAGAGCUGUUUAAAGCCCCCUCCCUAAAGUGGAUUUAAAGUGGACCCAAGCUCUAAUGCAGGCAUGGGCAAACUUGGGCCCUCCAGGUGUUUUGGACUUCAACUCCCACAAUUCCUAACAGUAUACAUUUUAACAGUCCUUUAAAAUGUAUACCUGAUCUGUACUUCUCUGUGUGGCUAAUGGAACAUACUGGUUUGUUUCCCAUUCUCUUAUUUUUGUUUGAAUGUCCUUUUCUUGCUGUGUGGGGAGGUAGUGCAAGAAAGAACAUCAGAGCAGCAUGCCUGCACACCUUGGCAAGUUUCUUUUUUCAUGUCAGGAGCAACUUUUGAAAAUUAUUAUUUAUUCAUUUCUAUCCCGCUUUUCUUCUGUGGGUGGGAUUCAGAGCGGUGUACAACAUACCAAAUUCAUACAAAUACAUCUGACCACAAUACUUGAGGAACUCCAAGUCGCUUCUGGUGUGAGAAAAUUGGGCAUCUGUAAGGACAUUGCCCAGGGAUGCCCGGAUGUUUUUACCACCCUUUGGAAGGCUUCUCUCAUUUCUCCGCAUGGGAAGCUGGAGCUGACAGGCGGGAGCUCCCCCCCUGGCUGCCCCGCUUCGAACCGCCGUCCUUUUAGUCAGCAGUCCUGCCGGCACAAGAGGGCUUCACCUUGGCAAAUGGCAGUAUGGAAACCAAAUACAUACACUGCAGAAGUUAUUUUUGCUCUGUAUGAGAAAAUGAAGAGAGUACACAUGACUAGGCUUGGGAACUUGAGAAACCACAGAUGUGUUGGACUCCCAACUCCAUCAUCCUGCCAGAAUGUCCAGUGUCCAUGCAAAUAG
ensembl:lncRNA